rnacentral:rRNA from 1 species
UACGUAGGGGACAAGCGUUAUCCGGAUUUACUGGGCGUAAAGCGCCCGUAGGCGGCCUGUUAAGUUGGACGUGAAAGCUCCCGGCUUAACUGGGAGAGGCCGUUCAAAACUGUGAGGCUAGAGUGAGGCAGAGGAGCGCGGAAUUCCCGGUGUAGUGGUGGAAUGCGUAGAGAUCGGGAGGAACACCAGUGGCGAAAGCGGCGCUCUGGGCCUAAACUGACGCUGAGGGGCGAAAGCGUGGGGAGCGAACGGG